ACGCCAGACUCCUACGGGAGGCAGCAGUGGGGAAUAUUGCACAAUGGGGGAAACCCUGAUGCAGCGACGCCGCGUGAGCGAUGAAGUAUUUCGGUAUGUAAAGCUCUAUCAGCAGGGAAGAAAAUGACGGUACCUGACCAAGAAGCCCCGGCUAACUACGUGCCAGCAGCCGCGGUAAUACGUAGGGGGCAAGCGUUAUCCGGAUUUACUGGGUGUAAAGGGAGCGUAGACGGUUCUGCAAGCCAGAUGUGAAAGCCCGGGGCUCAACCCCGGGACUGCAUUUGGAACUGUAAGGCUAGAGUGUCGGAGAGGCAGGCGGAAUUCCUAGUGUAGCGGUGAAAUGCGUAGAUAUUAGGAGGAACACCAGUGGCGAAGGCGGCUUACUGGACUGUAAAUGACGCUGAGGCUCGAAAGCGUGGGGAGCAAACAGGAUUAGAUACCCGUGUA
rnacentral:rRNA from 1 species